rnacentral:rRNA from 13 species
GUACCGUGAGGGAAAGGUGAAAAGAACCCUGAACAAGGGAGUGAAAUAGAUCCUGAAACCAUACGCUUACAAGCGGUCGGAGCCUUUAGGGGUGACGGCGUGCCUUUUGCAUAAUGAGCCUACGAGUUACCGUUACCAGCAAGGUUAAGCACUUCAGGUGUGGAGCCGUAGCGAAAGCGAGUCUGAAUAGGGCGAAUUAGUUGGUCAUGGUAGACGCGAAACCGUGUGAUCUACCCUUGGGCAGGUUGAAGCUGUGGUAACACACAGUGGAGGACCGAACCCGUUGACGUUGAAAAGUCUUGGGAUGACCUGAGGGUAGGGGUGAAAGGCCAAUCAAACUCGGAAAUAGCUCGUACUCCCCGAAAUGCAUUUAGGUGCAGCGGUAUAUUAGUUUUAUAGAGGUAGAGCUACUGAUUGGAUGCGGGGGCUUCACCGCCUACCAAUUCCUGACAAACUCCGAAUGCUAUAAAAUGAUCAUCAGCAGUGAGGGCAUGGGUGCUAAGGUCCGUGUCCGAGAGGGAAAGAACCCAGACCAUCAGCUAAGGUCCCCAAAUAUAUGUUAAGUUGAAUAAACGCGGUUGAACUGCUUAGACAGCUAGGAUGUUGGCUUGGAAGCAGCCAUUCAUUUAAAGAGUGCGUAACAGCUCACUAGUCGAGCGGUUCGGCAUGGAUAAUAAUCGGGCAUAAACAUAUUACCGAAGCUAUGGCAUAUUAAUUUAUAUUGAUAUGGGUAGGGGAGCAUUGUAACAACGUAGAAGGUGUAUUGCGAGGUACAUUGGAGUGGUUACAAAAGAAAAUGUAGGCAUAAGUAACGAUAAUGCGGGCGAGAAACCCGCACACCGAAAGACCAAGGUUUCCUCAGCUAUGCUAAUCAGCUGAGGGUUAGUCGGGUCCUAAGGCGAACCCGAAAGGGGUAGUCGAUGGCCAAGCAGUUAAUAUUCUGCUACUUGCCCCACGUUAAAAGCGGACGGAGGCGAAAAGUUGGUGCGUACUGACGGAAUAGUACGUUGAAUCCAGUGGUAACACGGAGAUAGUACACAAAAGCUACGGCCGGCGUGAUAAUCCAGCGGAUCGACUUCCAAGAAAAGCGAGUGGUGGCAACCCGUACCGUAAACCGACACAGGUAGUUGGGAUGAGAAUUCUAAGGUGCUCGAGAGAUUCAUGGCUAAGGAACUAGGCAAAAUAGGCCCGUAACUUCGGGAGAAGGGUCGCCCACAGCAAUGUGGGCCGCAGUGAAAAGGUCCAGGCGACUGUUUAUCAAAAACACAGGACUCUGCUAAAUCGAAAGAUGAUGUAUAGGGUCUGACACCUGCCCGGUGCCGGAAGGUUAAUUGAUGGGGUUAGUUUUCGGACGAAGCUCUUGAUCGAAGCCCCGGUAAACGGCGGCCGUAACAAUAACGGUCCUAAGGUAGCGAAAUUCCUUGUCGGGUAAGUUCCGACCUGCACGAAUGGUGUAACCAUGGCCACGCUGUCUCCACCCGAGACUCAGUGAAAUUGAAAUCGCAGUGAAGAUGCUGUGUACCCGCACCUAGACGGAAAGACCCCGUGAACCUUUACUACAGCUUGGCACUGAACAUUGAACCUACAUGUGUAGGAUAGGUGGGAGGCUUUGAAGCACAGUCGCUAGAUUGUGUGGAGCCGUCCUUGAAAUACCACCCUUGUAUGUUUGAUGUUCUAACAUUGUUCCCUUAUCGGGAAUGUGGACAGUGUCUGGUGGGUAGUUUGACUGGGGCGGUCUCCUCCCAAAUAGUAACGGAGGAGCACGAAGGUUAGCUAAUCACGGUCGGACAUCGUGAGGUUAGUGCAAUGGCAUAAGCUAGCUUAACUGCGAGACAGACACGUCGAGCAGGUACGAAAGUAGGUCAUAGUGAUCCGGUGGUUCUGUAUGGAAGGGCCAUCGCUCAACGGAUAAAAGGUACUCCGGGGAUAACAGGCUGAUACCGCCCAAGAGUUCAUAUCGACGGCGGUGUUUGGCACCUCGAUGUCGGCUCAUCACAUCCUGGGGCUGAAGUCGGUCCCAAGGGUAUGGCUGUUCGCCAUUUAAAGUGGUACGCGAGCUGGGUUUAGAACGUCGUGAGACAGUUCGGUCCCUAUCUGCCGUGGGCGUUGGAAAAUUGAAAGGGGCUGCUCCUAGUACGAGAGGACCGGAGUGGACGAACCGCUGGUGUUCGGGUUGUCAUGCCAAUGGCAUUGCCCGGUAGCUAUGUUCGGAACGGAUAACCGCUGAAAGCAUCUAAGCGGGAAGCCGGCCCAAAGAUGAGUCAUCCCUGACCUUUAAGGUCUGGAAGGGUUGUUAUAGACGAUGACGUUGAUAGGCAGGGUGUGGAAGCGUUGUAAGGCGUUAAGCUAACCUGUACUAAUUGCCCGA